UAACAUUUCUCAUCAAAGAGUGUUCUAUAGGGAAGAGAUAAAACCUAAACAGUCCCGGAAGCUGAGACAAGAAACUGAAAAAAAAAGGAAAGUGAGCAACAAGAUAAUGUAAGUCACAACUGAGCCAAUUAAGGAGCAGGAGAUGCAGCAGCAUGUCCCAAACAAAACUGAUUGGAGGUCAAGUGUGGACAACCAGAGCAAGUUCUUGCACAGCUAAUGUAUCCCCAGGUGUGAACUGAGUAACAUGAAGAAAGGCAUCCUCCUGCCACCUCCUGAAUCAGUAGAAAAAGACAAAAGCUUUUGAUGGGAUUAUGCUGGAGUCCAUGUCAUGGAACCAAACUGGAAAUUUUCUGGCAUGAUUUUAGGCGUUUUGCAUGAACUCUAAUUCAUUGAAAUGUAACAACCUUAUAAGAUUCAACUGGCUCAUGGUUUGUACCGGGGGAACCAAGCCCAUGGUUGGGAUCCAGGGGUCCCUCCAGUCUCCUGUUCCAUGGUCGCACACACCUUGAGGGCACCCACACGGUUUGAUCGUCUCCUUAUAUUGCUGCUGGCAGACUCGUGACGGGGUUUCUCAUUCAUCUGGGUGUACAAGAAGCAUGGUGCCAGCAUCUGCUCAGCUUCUGAUGAGGGCUCUGGGAAGCUUUUACUCAUGGAGGAAGGCAAGGGGAACCAGCAUGUCACAUGAUGAGAAAGGAAGCAUGAGAGAGAGGUGCCAGACUCUUCAACAACCAGAAGAGAAAGUCAGAGAGAAUCAAAGCAUGUGAAGAGAGACCUCACGCAAGGAGGUCUAGGAGCCUAGAGUGAUCUUCAGCCAACAGUCAAAAAGAUAACUGGGACAACCACAAGGAACUGACUUCUAUAAGAGAAAUGAGCCUGGAAAAGGACUCCAAGCUUCAGAUGAAAAUGUAGUUGGCUGACACUUUGAUUUUAGUCUUGUGAAACCCUAAGCAGAGAAUCCAAGUAAGUCCCCCUGAACUUCUCACCUAAAGAACAAUGAGUUAAUAAAUAAGGGGUAUGAUAAGUCAUGAAAUAUGUGGUAAUUUAUUACAAAACAAUAUAUAAUGAUACAGAUACCUAUCUGGUAGCCAGAUAUUAUCCUAAGUAUUUUCCACAAGACAUUUAAUUUGAUUUAAUUAACACGCAACUCCAUAAGAGACAGAUCCUUUUAACUAUUUUGCAGGUGGUAAACUGAGGCUCAAGUAAUUUAUGUGAUUUGUCUAAGGUCCCAUAGGCUAUAAGUGUCAGAGCCCAGAUUGAGAAGUGUUUGGCUGUUCAUGCAAGUGCAAGCAGCUUUCAUUAAACUAUUCGCAGAAGUCUGUCAGAAUAGCUAGCAAGGAUACCAACUAUCUAGGGAAAGUCACACCAAAGGAGUGACCCAAAGAAACACAUUUUAACCUGAACUGCCUGGUAAUACACUGAAGGCAAAUCAGCCCCAAAGACUAAAAUUGUUAAUUUUCUGUGAUUCCUCGCUGUUUUAUUUAAUAUAAUAUGACCUUAACCUAGUCUUGAUAUUUGAUUUCUGAACAAUGAGUCAAGAGAGUUGCCUUCUCUAUGUAGUAGUACUUUACUGUUGUCAAAGACUUGUCCUUUGGUGCUUCAUAUUUUGCUUUACCUACAUGGAACAUUGCUAAUUUAGGUGAUAGCCUAACUAUUUAUAGUUAAAUACACCCACCAAGUUCCCUUUACCCUUCAAAUUAACUAAAAAGAAACAACUUCCUACUUCUUACACCACAUAAAAUUCAUAUUUUGCUUUAAAUGUAAUUUUUCAGCAAAGAGCCUAGUGGAGUUCACUUAAAACUAACCAAAUCAGCUGUUAAAAUUGUCCAUUUGAUCACAUGGGUUAUAGGCAUAGUUAUUUGACUGAGUUAUGACAAUGCUCAGAAACAGAAAAGACAGUCAAAGGUUAUCAUGUAAGUUCAAUAAAAAUUCAACAGUUGUUUUUAAAGAUUUUCAUAUGAUAAUAUUGUUUCACUUUCUAUUACCCAUAUUUGAUUUCAUUUACAAAUAAAAUACUACCCACUCUAUGAAUCAUGCUUUUAUCUCAAAUAUAUCUAGAGUGAAUCUCUAUGAUUUUUAGAAUACAGAAAUAUACAUUUUAAAAAGAUUUUAACAUUUAUUGUAAAUAAUUUAAGACAACUUUUAGAUAUAUCACGUGAGUGUUUAACUCAAUUUUCAUGACCCAGCUGGCCCAAAUUAGUCUUUUUUAUAAAUUGUUUUUUGAGUUGAAAUUAUUCUUUCACACCUAAAGAACUCUAUCUGAUGCUCUAGAGAGAAAUAUUCAAUUGAACUUCACAAUGUAGAACAUUUCCUGCAUUCUCCAUUGUAGACUGUGAUGAAUAAAUCAAUAUGUGCUUACUAAAAACAAAUGAUACAAUUUAAGGAAAUAUAUUAUUUUGAGUCCUGAUUCAAAGAAAAUAACCAAAUAUUUAAAAUUUAUUUAAAAUUUGUACUGUUUAUUUAUAUAAUUAUAACAUCUUCAAAAUCAAUAAUGAUUUUCUUCAUUUAGUAUUUAAACAUAACUAUUUUCUCAUAGUACUAGAGUCGCCAUAAGCAUCACUCUAUGGCUAUAUAAUUUCUGACAUGUGCUUUUAUUGGAAUUCAUUAAUAAUUUCAUUAUUUUUAGGUAUUUAGAUCAUGGCCCACUUUCCCCUACAACCACGAUACCUGUUUAAAUUGACAAAUCAUAGUUGUAUGGAUUUACGGGGCAAAAUGUGAUGUUUUGAUAUACGUAUAUGAUACAGUUUGAUUAAAUCAAGCUGCUUUAACAUAUCCAUCAUCCUGCUUACCUAUCAUUUUUAAUAAUGAGAUAUUUGAAAUGUAUUCUCUUAGUUAUUUUCAAAUACAUAAUACAUUAUUAUUGACUGUAGUCAUCCUGGUGUGCAAUGAAUCUCAAGAUGAAUAUUUCCAUGAACAUUAAAAAAAAUUCUUCCAUUUUGAAAU
rnacentral:lncRNA from 10 species